rnacentral:lncRNA from 1 species
CGUAGCUAGCUAACAAGGAGACUAAUGAUUGUUGAUGAUGCUGUAAAACAUAUGUAUUUCAGGAAACCGAGGAAAUGGCAGGGCAAACGUCGCAUGACAGUGGUUUGUGGGAUUUUCUUCGAAAGCGAGGUGUUGCAGAAGAAAAUAUUGACCGAAUGCAACAAGACAAGAUUGACUCAUCGCUUGUCAGAGAAAUAGAAGAUGCCUACCUUGCACGCUAUAUACCAGUUUAUGGGGACAGGAUUGCUCUGAGGCGAUACUGUCUGGACAAAGAAAAACAAAAAGACAAUAGUUCAAGGAUGUCCCUUCUUGAAAAACUUCGAAAGAAACUAAAGACAGCAACAGCAGGUCAAGAUGAGGAGUCUGAACAGGAACCCUGGCCUGCAAAGAGUGCAAAAAAACCAAGCCGUGAUUGUUCUAAAAAUGCUGUGAAGAGUUCAAGAAAAAUUGAGUUAGGGUGGAUCCAUGAGGGAAAACAAAUGAGAAAGCGUUCUGGUGGUGGCACCAGGGUACUUGAGGUAUCCAAGAAUUCAACCAAAACUGACAUUUUGUCACAUGCCAAAGAACUGUUUUUUCCAGGUGGUGAAUCAACAAAAGGAAAAUGGGAAGACUUCCUACACGAUAUUUAUGACUUUAAGGAGUCACGCCUUGAUGAGAGCAGUACUGUUGGUGCGUUGUACACAGUGUCAAAAUUGGGGAUUUUACGAUUCUACCUAAACACAACAUGCCUCGUUGACUCAUCCGACGCAGAAGUGGACAGGAAAGGGGACAAGUAUGGUGUCACUAUUGUAGAGCAGCAGAGACAGACCAAUUCUGAUGAGCACCAAGAAAAGCCAGCCAGACUGAAUGAAUCACAAAGAAAACAAUCUGGUGGUAAUCCACAUAAUGACCCUCCCUCAGAGAUUCAGCUGGAUGAUGCUGUCCCAGUUUUCACUGCAGUCGAGGAAGUCAUCAAUGAUGCCCCCUCCACAUCCACCCCUGUGUCAGGGGACCAUGAUCAAAAUACUGAUGACUACUCAAGUUUUGAUGCAGGCUUUGACCAACAUCAUGUGAAUCUUAAACUACAUAGAGUAAAUCUCUUAGAGGAAAUGAUUUGUCAAUUCAAAGAUGAGUCAAUUUUGAAGUACCCUUUAAAGUUUGCUUUUGUUAAUGAAUGGGGUGCAGAUGCAGAUGGUGUGUCCAGAGAUGCCUAUGCUGCUUUUUGGACAGAGUUCUUGGAUUCUGCAGCAGAGGGGGCGGAAAUGAGGGUGCCAUCCCUGUCACCAAAAUGGCAGGAGGAAGAGUGGAAAGCUGUGGGAAGAAUAUUGGCCAAAGGAUUUGUGGAUCAGGGAUACUUUCCGCUGCGCCUUGCCCCAGCAUUUACCACAGCACUAAUAUUUGGAGAGCAUGCUGUAUCUACUGAUUCACUGUUUGAAUCUUUGAUGCUGUACCUGAGUCAGUGUGAGAGAGAGCUCAUAACCGCUGCCUUAGAGGGAGACCUUGAUAGUGAUGGCCAGGAUGAGUUAUUAGAUCUGCUGGAUCGCCUGGGAGUGAAAGCUGUUCCAUCACAAGCCAACCUAAAAGCCGUCCUCCUUCAAGUGGCACACAAACAAAUAAUACAGCAGCCAAAGUAUGCUCUUGAUAACAUGUCAGCAGUUGCAGCACAACUCCUGAAGACCACCAUCACCACAACAGCAAAAAUACAGAUCAUGUAUACAGACAAAAAAACAACUUGCAGGAAAGUCCUGAAGCUAAUUGAAGCAAGUCCAGAGACUCCAGCUGAGAGACAAGCCCUUGGAUUUUUACAACAGUACAUACGAGGACUG